CCCCGUUGUUUCUUCCUUCCGGUUCCGCUCAGGCCGCCGGCGUCUACCUCCCGGUCCAGCCUGAUCCUCCCGCGCGAGUCGGGGCCGCGUGAGUCCAACGACGUCUAGCGGCCGGGGCCUGCGCGCCUAUGUGCGUGUGCCCGGUGAGGCCCGGGAGCUGGAGGGCCAUGCAGUUCGGCUGCCUCUCCUUCCGGCAGCCUUACGCGGGUUUCGCUGCUGAAUGGCGUGAAGGACAGUGGAGACACGUUGGCGUCCAGUGCUGAGCGGCCACCGGAACCGGACCAUCGCCAUCCACAUCGCUCACCGGGACUGGGACGGCGCCACGUGGAGGGAGCUGCUGCUGCAGAGGCUCGGCAUUGACCCCCCACACAGAUUCAGGCCCUGCUUCAGGAAGGGAAAAGUACGGCCGCGGCGUGAUAGCUGGGCUCGUCGAUGUUGGAGAUACCUUGCUGUGCCCGGCGGACUUAGCUCCUGAGGAGCUGCUGGAACUGGAAACUCAAGCUGUACUGACCGGCCUGGAGCAGAAGUACCUCACCGCACUCUCAAACCCUAGAUGGUUGCUGGAGCCCAUCCCCGGGAAAGGUGGAAAGGAUGUCUUCCAGGUAGACAUCCCAGAGCACCUGAUCCCCUCGGGGCAGGAGGCCUGAGGCCAUUGCAAGGGUACGGAGCCAGCAGUGGGACGCGGACCAUCACCACCCUUGGCGCUGCAGACACGGGAAGCGGUCAGGUCUGGCAGUGCCACCGUGCGCUGUUCAUGGAAACAGGUGUGUCCACACACGCAUGGGGGACAGGUCGGCAGACUUGCCUUGUGAGGUGCUUGCCUGGGUUCCUCGCCAGUCUCAAGGGCUUCGACCCUCAGGAGGAAGGGAGAGCUGCCCUGAAGGCUUUUGCGCUGCCGCUCAUUUGGGCCCUGCUGAUUUCUUCGUCGUACAAAGAAUUACGUCUCAACAGACCCAGUUGGUGUGUCCCCCAUCUUUGUUCUGGUCAAAGUCUGGGAAUGUUGGAACAGCAUCCGGGGGAUGUUGUGGGAAGGCUGGGAGCGGGCACUCAAGGAAGGCCCGGGAGUGGCCAGCCACAGACGCCCCUGCUCACAAAGACGAGGAUGUCAGACUGAGAAACGGCACCUGUCUUUCCUCGCAAGGGACUCUUGCUGUGUUGACAACACGUCCCAUCCCAUGGCCCCUGAUGUAUGCAUGUUAGACUCAUCGCGUGGCUACUUUGUAUGCAAAGAAAGGAUCCUCAAUACAGCACUGAUGGAAAAGUGA